GCGAGCGCAGACGGUUAUUUAAGUCUGAAGUGAAAGCCCUCAGCUCAACUGAGGAAUUGCUUUGGAAACUGGAUGACUUGAGUGCAGUAGAGGAAAGUGGAACUCCAUGUGUAGCGGUGAAAUGCGUAGAUAUAUGGAAGAACACCAGUGGCGAAGGCGGCUUUCUGGACUGUAACUGACGUUGAGGCUCGAAAGUGUGGGUAGCAAACAGGAUUAGAUACCCCAG
rnacentral:rRNA from 1 species